GAGAAAAUGAGUGGUUCGUAUGUGGGUUCGAUGAGGCGGUGGUCGCCCCUCAGUUGAACCCACAUGAAACAGUGGAGGCGCGUGGAAGGUACGCUCCGGAAAUGGGAAGAGGAUUGCAUGGGGUGAAAGUGGACGUGUGGGGUGUAGGUCACUUGGUGAAGACGUGUGGAUUGUGUCCAAGUGGUGUGCCGAAGAUGCUUAAAGAGUUGCAAAAUAGGUGCUUAGAUCAGAACCCAGAGCAGAGACCCACCGCCGCCGAUUGCUAUCACCACUUGUUGCAAGUGCAGUCGUCUCUGCAAUCAUCCUCCUCUGGAGGGCCCUAUUGAAUUGACUGAUGUGUAUGCUAUGGGGUAGCUUGCGUUUGUUUUCUGAUUUUUAAUAUUGU
rnacentral:misc_RNA from 1 species